GUCCAGACUCCUACGGGAGGCAGCAGUGAGGAAUAUUGGUCAAUGGCCGGAAGGCUGAACCAGCCAAGCCGCGUGAAGGACGAAGGUGCCAAGCAUUGUAAACCUCUUUUGUCAAGGGACAAAAUCAGGCUCGAGAGCCUGACCGAGGGUACUUGAAGAAAAAGCAUCGGCUAACUCCGUGCCAGCAGCCGCGGUAAUACGGAGGAUGCGAGCGUUAUCCGGAUUUAUUGGGUUUAAAGGGUGCGUAGGCGGGCUGUAAAGUCAGCGGUAAAAGCCCGGGGCACACCCCCGGCGAGCCGUUGAAACUGGCGGGCUGGAGUUGGAGAGAAGUACGCGGAAUGCGCGGUGUAGCGGUGAAAUGCUUAGAUAUCGCGCAGAACCCCGAUUGCGAAGGCAGCGUACCGGCUCCACACUGACGCUGAGGCACGAAAGCGUGGGUAUCGAACAGGAUUAGAUACCCCCGUA
rnacentral:rRNA from 1 species